rnacentral:rRNA from 1 species
AUUGAACGCUGGCGGCAGGCCUAACNCAUGCAAGUCGAGCGGAUGAGUGGAGCUUGCUCCAUGAUUCAGCGGCGGACGGGUGAGUAAUGCCUAGGAAUCUGCCUGGUAGUGGGGGACAACGUUUCGAAAGGAACGCUAAUACCGCAUACGUCCUACGGGAGAAAGCAGGGGACCUUCGGGCCUUGCGCUAUCAGAUGAGCCUAGGUCGGAUUAGCUAGUAGGUGAGGUAAUGGCUCACCUAGGCGACGAUCCGUAACUGGUCUGAGAGGAUGAUCAGUCACACUGGAACUGAGACACGGUCCAGACUCCUACGGGAGGCAGCAGUGGGGAAUAUUGGACAAUGGGCGAAAGCCUGAUCCAGCCAUGCCGCGUGUGUGAAGAAGGUCUUCGGAUUGUAAAGCACUUUAAGUUGGGAGGAAGGGCAGUAAGUUAAUACCUUGCUGUUUUGACGUUACCAACAGAAUAAGCACCGGCUAACUUCGUG